rnacentral:rRNA from 1 species
GGUUCAGGACGAACGCUGGCGGCGUGCCUAAUACAUGCAAGUCGAACGGUCUUUCUAUGGAAGCUUGCUUCCACUGAGAAGAUAGUGGCGAACGGGUGAGUAACACGUGGGUAACCUGCCCAUAAGAGGGGGGAUAACAUCCGGAAACGGGUGCUAAUACCGCAUAGUUUUCUUGAUCGCAUGAUCGGGAAAGGAAAGACGGCCUUUGUGCUGUCGCUUAUGGAUGGACCCGCGGCGUAUUAGUUAGUUGGUGAGGUAACGGCUCACCAAGACGAUGAUACGUAGCCGACCUGAGAGGGUGAUCGGCCACAUUGGGACUGAGACACGGCCCAAACUCCUACGGGAGGCAGCAGUAGGGAAUCUUCCGCAAUGGACGAAAGUCUGACGGAGCAACGCCGCGUGAGUGAAGAAAGGUUUUCGGAUCGUAAAACUCUGUUGUCAGAGAAGAACAAGUUGGAGAGUAACUGCUCCAGCCUUGACGGUAUCUGACCAGAAAGCCACGGCUAACUACGUGCCAGCCGCUGC